UUUAAUUGAAGAGUUUGAUCAUGGCUCAGAUUGAACGCUGGCGGCAGGCUUAACACAUGCAAGUCGAGCGGUA
rnacentral:rRNA from 1 species